rnacentral:rRNA from 1 species
AGCUUAAAGAAUUUACUAUUUUAGGUGUUUUCUGCCCAGUGCAUUUCUGUUAACGGCCGCGGUAUCCUGACCGUGCAAAGGUAGCAUAAUCAUUUGCCUUUUAAUUGGAGGCUAGUAUGAAUGAAUAAACGUAGGUACCCCUGUUUCUUGUAAUGUAUUAAAAAUUAUUCCUCAGGUGAAGAAACCUGAAUUUUUUAAAAAGACAAGAAGACCCUAUCAAGCUUUAUAUUUUAAGUAUUCAAAAAUACAAAAAUAUUUGGUUGGGGCGACUAAUGGGGUGCACUACACCCCCAUAAUAUUUUUGAAUUAUCCUUCUUACUUAUUAAUAAUUUAAAUUAAGAAAGCUACUGUAGGGAUAACAGGCUAAUAUUUUCCUAGAGUUCAAAUUAAAGAAAAUGUUUGGCACCUCGAUGUUGGCUUAGGGUACCUGUCCCCCGCAGAAGGGGGGCAAGGUAGUUUGUUCAACUAUUAAAUCCCU